rnacentral:rRNA from 1 species
UACGAGGGGAGCAAGCGUUGUUCGGAUUUACUGGGCGUAAAGGGCGCGUAGGCGGUCGUGACAAGUCACUUGUGAAAUCUCCGGGCUUAACUCGGAACGGUCAAGUGAUACUGUCGGACUAGAGUACAGAAGGGGCAACUGGAAUUCUCGGUGUAGCGGUGAAAUGCGUAGAUAUCGAGAGGAACACCUGCGGCGAAGGCGGGUUGCUGGGCUGAUACUGACGCUGAGACGCGAAAGCGUGGGGAGCGAACAGG